rnacentral:misc_RNA from 1 species
CGACCUUUGUGCGCAGCCGCCGUGAAAACCGGCAGCUCUACUGUGGCGAGCGCCGCGCAUAUUUAGUAGCCGCGUUCUCCAUUUGUUUUGAGACGAUUUUUGCGCUCAAGUGUGCGCCGUAAAACCUGCCACGCCUCAUUUUUCCGUGAUGCCUCUAGCAGGGAAGGUAAUUGAACUUUGCGUUUGAAUUAUGCGUGUUAUCUGUCUAAAAUGAAUAUCUAAAUUGUUUAGGUGAGCACUGAUAUGUCUGAGAUUGCAGUGUAGUAUGUUUCAGAGCAGAUUUGUUACUAAACUGGCGAUUAUAAGCCAUUUUUGAUGUGGCGCAUAUCGCCGCAUGCGUCAAUGCUGUGAUAACAUUGCAGGAAUUGAAAGACAGGAAAGUGUACUUAGAUUCCAGUAGUUAUAAUGGCAACAUGCUUGGUGUGCAUGGUCAUUAAAGGCGGUUUGAAUUAUUGUGCAGGAUGCUGGCAUUGAGACAGUGCUGUGAGGCGCUGUAGGAGGCCGAGUGUGUACCGGCCUGUCUGCGGUCCCUCCAAGCCGAGUUGAGCCGGCUUGGACGAGGUUCGCUCAUCGCUGUCAUCAUCGCGCCCACAAACUAUUGGUCAGUAAACCUGAGUAGCACUGGAAUCUGGAUUGUUAAUUAAUUAUAAUUGUUUGCGAACACGAACUUCACUUGAAUCUAACUUGACUUGAUAUUCUGCUUACGUUGAUCCAACCUGACCUCGAGUUUCAUGAUUCAUGCGUGUUUUGAGUGUGAUGAUUGAUGUGUGUCAGAAAGUGUUACCCAUGAUUGUUGAUUAUGGCUGUUUGUCUUUGUGUCAUGUUCGCAGACAACCGCUAGCUGCUUGCUGGUAGCACGCUUGCUUCUCGCUGUCCUUUCCUGAAUAUGACCUAUGACCAUUUCUCUGUUUAUUUUCCUUUUCUUUAUUUGAGAGCGUGCACAGCAGGGCGGCAGUGAGUUGGAAUAGAGGGCACGUGGCGAAGAUGGCAACAGUUGUCAAUAGUUUGUUGAUAAUGUUUUGUCCAUUCGUCAGUAGUUUCCAAGAGUGCUUGAAGUUGUAAAGCAUUUGUUGAUUACUGCAAGAACAGUGGACCAUGGAGAAGUUGCAGAUGUUGAAGAAUGAACGAGCCCUGAAGAAGGGUAAUCUGACAAGAACUCGUAGAAGAGCCUUUGUGUUGAUUGACUCAGUUGGCAGCAAGAGGGAACUGCGGUCAAUGUUGAAGGAGUUGGACACUGCACUCCAAGAUGUACUGGAAGUGAACUUGAAGCUCAGAGGGGAACUGGACAAUGAAACCGAGCUGAUGAAAUGUCAGGCUUAUGGAGAAGAAGCCACAGCAGAGCACGCUCUUGCAGUAGAAAGGCUAGAAGCCCACCUGCAAGAAAGAGCUGGUGAACCAGCGUCAGUAGCCUCUUCGAAGGUGACUGCAGCUUCAAAAACUGCACUCACUCAGCAUGCUGUCAGAAUGGCAGAAGUAGAAGACAAGGUCCAUCAGCUGGAGCUCCAACAGCUACAGCAUCGCCUCCAUCAAGAGGAACAGGAGCAGCGUCUACACAGAGAGCGCCUACUCCAAGAAAAGGAAGAUGCCAUAAAGGCUGCGAAGCUCAAAGGUGAGCUAACACGGGCUGCGGAGACUGAUCUGGCGUGGGAGAGACGCGAGGACUUCUGCAACGAAAGGGAGCCAGAGGCGGAAGGUGCUGAUAAGAAGGAGCAAGUGGAGAAAACAAAGGAGUUUGACACAUUGCUGUUCCGGCAGAGUCUGCCACGCCUUCGGUUGCCGACAUUCGGAGGGCAAAUUGAAGAGUGGCCGAGAUGGUAUGCACUAUUUAAGACAAUGGUGCACCAGCAAGACAUGAGUGUGGAGGAGAAGAUGGUUCACCUACAAAACGCAGUUACAGGAGCAGCAAGAAGUACAAUCGGCGGCAUGAUAUGUGACGGUAGUUCCUACGAGGAAGCACUACAAGCGCUACAAGACCGGUAUGGCAGGGAGCUUGAUGUCGUUCAAACAACUCUAAGGAAUGUAUUCUCCUGUCCGGGUCCCAAGCCGAAUGACUCCAAGUCUCUGGAACGGUACUUUGGCGCAGUGCAUGGGGCCACAACAACUCUCAAGAAAAUGGGAUAUGAAGGUGACAUCCAAUCCAUUGAAAACCUGAGAAGACUCGUGAGCAAACUCCCGUUGGAACUCAGGAAGGCAUGGGCUGAGCACUCACUCAACAUCGGGCGAGCCACACUGAUUCAUUUCGAUGAAUGGCUGCGCAACCAAGUGAGAAUUCUUCUGACCUUCGAGGCAACUGCUGCAGCACCAGUCAGCUGCCCGAAGAGGACGACUGUGAUGUUCACGACCACAGCAGGUACAGGAGGUAAGCGCUGCUGCAUGUGCAACGGAGAUCAUGGCUUGUGGUCGUGUGAUCAGUUCAAAUCGAAAACUGUGGACGAGCGAGCUCAAGCUGUCGCCGCGAACCGCCUUUGUUUCAGUUGCCUCAGACCCGGUCAUCAAAGCCGAAACUGCAGGACAGCACGGGAGUGUGGUGUCGACGGCUGUCAUCUCCGGCACAACCGGCUGCUGCACGGCAGCAGAAGAGUGAGAGGACCGGCUCCGUCAACAAGACUGGCAGCUGGAACAGUCAACGCAACAAAUGAGGCCACCAUCGCGUCAAUCAGGCAUGGGACAACUGUAGACAGCUCUUCAGUUCUCUUGCAGGUCGUCCCGGUGCGAGUUCAUGGGUCCUGCGGGAGGUUCAAGGAUACUCUGGCGCUGCUGGAUCCGGGUGCGCAGACCUCGCUCUGCAAUGUCUCGCUCUUGGAUGAGUUGCAGGUGGAUGGAGAGAUUCAAACUCUCCGACUGAACAAUGUAGAAGCAGCAGGCCAAGAAAAGAUGUCCCGACGAGUCCAGCUGGAGCUCUCUCCGCUGGCAGAGACAGAAGAGGGAUCACAGAAGAUAUAUGUGCCAGAGGCAUUCUCAGUGGACAGGGUGAACGUGAGGGUCCCUGUGCUGAAGAAGAAGGCGCUGUGGAAGCUGAAGCACCUGCAGGGAUUGAAGAUACCAGAUCUCUCUGGCGGCGAAGUGCAGCUGUUGCUGGGUGCGAACGUGCUCGAGGCGGUGCUUCAGCGCGAGGCACGAGUGGGAGAACCUGGUGAGCCCGUGGCCAUCCGCACAGCCUUCGGAUGGUCACUGACCGGCUCGCUUGCCAGUGUCGUGCCUGAGCAUCACCGGGAGGUGAUGUUUGUUGGCAGGUCACCCGCCGAACAGUCUGAAGAAGACCUGUCGACCAUGCUUCAGAACUGGUGGGCGACCGAGUCGUUCGGCACCAAGCACACCGACGAGCCUGUUCUGACGCCGGACGACGAGAAGGCGUUGAGAAUCCUGGAGAAGACGACACGACAUCUGGGAGAGAGGUACGAAGUGGGUCUCCUCUGGCAAGAUGAGGAAGUCAGCUUGCCGAACAACUACACAAUGGCGUGCAGUCGCCUGCGGUCUCUGGAACGCAGCCUGAUGAAGAGUCCGGAGAAAGCUGCAGCCUACAGUGAAGUUCUGGAGAGCUACAUCGCCCAAGGAUAUGCGAAGAAACUGACGCCCCAGGAAGCUGAGCGCCAGGAGAAGAAGAAACUGUGGAUCCUCCCACAUCACGCCGUGAUGCAUCCAGAGAAGGAUAAACCACGUGUCGUGUUUGACGCGGCUGCAGUAUGUGACGGCACGUCACUCAACUCUGUGCUGCUCAGAGGCCCUGACUUCAUGCAGAGCCUCCAUGGAGUGCUGCUCCGCUUCAGGCAAGAACCCUUUGCAGUGGUGGGGGACAUAUACCAGAUGUUCCAUCAGAUCAAAGUGAGGGACGAAGACAGGCCGGCUUUGUCAUUCCUCUGGCGAGGAGUGGAAGUGACGGAGCCGCCCAGUCUCUACCAGAUGCAAGUUGUGAUUUUUGGCGCAAAAUGUAGUCCUUCUAUCGCAAACUACAUCGUGCGUCGGACACUAACGGACUCUAACGGAGCAGAGAAGCUGGAAGAAGGGAAACCAUCACUCAUCUCCAGCUUUUACGUGGAUGAUUUCCUCCGCUCGGAGGAAACUGCCGAUGCAGCGCUGUCGACGAUGGAGCAGGUCAAGUCGCUGAUGAGACAAGGAGGCUUCAGACUCAACAAGUGGAGAUCAAACUGCCCGGAACUUUUGGAACAUCUGCCAGAAAGCGAUCGAGAUGCAUCUCAAAAGAAGCUCACAGCGUGUGAAGGUGGAGCGCGGAAGGCGCUCGGCUGCCUGUGGUCCCCGACCGAAGACACCCUGAGCAUUCAAGUGCGGACAGCAGACGUCCCAGCAACAAAGCGAGGAGUGGUGAGGAUGGCAGCGAUGAUCUUUGACCCCCUGGGAAUCAUCACGCCAUUCCUCCUCCAAGCGAAGAUCAUCAUCCAGAAGCUGUGGGCUCAAAAACUGGACUGGGAUGAGGAAUUCUCUGGUGUCGAGCUCACUCUGUGGCAGAAGUGGUUGGCUGAGCUGUCUGCAGUGAAGGACAUCAAGGUACCGCGAAGCCUGAAGAUGUCUGUGACAGGGAAUAUCAAGGAGAUGGAGCUCCAUCUGUUUUCAGAUGCCUCGGAGGACGCGUUCGCAGCGGUGGCCUACGUUCGGAUGACUGGUGCCGACGGACGACGCUGUGUCAGCUUUGUCAUGUCGCGGUCCAGGGUAGCCCCACUCAAGCAACUCUCGAUUGUGCGACUCGAGCUUCAGGGAGCCGUUCUUGCCACGAGGUUAGCCAAGACGAUCCAGAAGGAGCUCACGUACAAGUUCGAAGACGUGGUGUUCUGGACGGACAGCCAAGUGGUCCUGCAAUUCGUGGCAAACGAGAGCAGAAUGUUUCAAACGUUCGUGGCAAACAGAGUGUCCGAGAUAAGGGAUUCCACAGAUCCCUCUCAGUGGAGACAUGUGCCAGGGGUACAAAACCCGGCAGACAUCAGCUCACGAGGACUGCCGGCAUCGCAGCUGAGAAGCUCUGCCCUGUGGUGGAACGGACCCGAGUUUCUCAUGCGUGAUCGAGGUGAGUGGCCGCACCUGAUGACGUCCAGUCUUCCGGCAGACCAGCCAGAGCUGAAGAGAAAACCUGCAGGGCCGGCCGUCAGCUUUGUCGGCAAAGCAGCUGCAAGUCGGCCUCUGGUGGAUCCCACACGCUUUUCAUCCUGGAGUAAGUACAGACGCAUCGUCGCUUGGGCUCACCGGUUCAUCUGGAACGUCAGAACGAAGGAGAAGAGGCGCGGUCCGCUGACGGUGGAAGAACUUCUGCAGGCGGAGCAGGUCAUCAUCCGGGAGGACCAAGAGCGCGAGAAAAUGGCUCCUCAACCAGGAGUGACUCUCUUCAAGGACGACAAGGGCAUCGUAAGGGUGGAAGGUCGUCUGAAGAAUGCCCCCGCUGAGAUCUGCCGACAGCCCAUCGCGCUGAGCCCAGGAAGUGAAGUGACGAGACUGAUUGUGACGGACCUACAUGAACGCUGCAUGCACGCUGGACUGAACCACACCUUGAAUCUGGUGAGGAAGAAGUUCUGGAUGCCAAAGGCAAGAGCAUCUGUGAAGAAGUUGAUAUGGCGGUGUGCGUUCUGCCGCAACAGAAGAGCCAUCCCCACGAACCCGAAGAUGGCGGACCUCCCGAGUGAGCGCUUUGAUGCCUCCCGUCCGUUCUCGUCUGUUGGCCUGGACUUUCUGGGACCGAUUGUAGUUCGAAAGUUCAGGAAAAGUGAGAAACGGUAUAUCCUCUUGGUGACUUGCCUGGCCACCAGGGCCAUUCAUCUUGAGGUCGCGAACGCGAUGGACACGGACUCAUUCCUGAUGGCGUUGCGACGGUUUAUCGCGCGUCGCGGCCGGCCAACAUCGAUCUGGUCAGACAACGGCACGAACCUCGUGGGAGGUGAGAGAGAACUCCGCGAGUCGAUCGCGGCUUGGAACCAGGAACAGAUUUGCGACACCCUCAGCCAGCAGAAUAUACAAUGGAAGUUUAACCCCCCGACCGCUAGUCACAUGGGUGGGUCAUGGGAGCGACUCGUCGCUUCGGUGAAAAGGGCUCUCCAAGCUGUCCUCGGCAAUCAGAUUGUGCCUGACGAUGUACUUCACACGACAGUAGUUGAGUUGGAGUUUCAGGUCAACUCGAGGCCGCUGACAUACGUGUCUGGAGACGGGGGUGAUCCAGAGUCUAUCACCCCGAAUCAUUUCCUGCUUGGAGCUGUGCCCGACGGGUGCAUCCUGCCGCCGGGAGUUUUCGGUGAGAAUGACAAAAUGUCACGCAGACGAUGGAAGCAGAGUCAAGCACUAGCGAAUGACGUGUGGCGCAGGUGGUUGAAAGAAUACCUGCCUACUCUCAUUCCCCGAAGGAAGUGGGAGAAGAACACACGAAACCUGGCCGUCAACGAUGUGGUCCUGAUGGCGGCAGACGACGCACCCCGCGGUCACUGGCCUCUGGGUGUUGUUGAACAGGUGUAUGCAAGUGAAGACGGUGUCGUCCGUUCGGUGCUGGUGAGAACGGCGACCGGCAAGUACAGACGCCCAUGCACAAAGGUCUGCUUACUGGAGGGGCAGACAAUGUAAGAUGCGCUGUCGUUGGUCUGACACGAGUUGUGUGAUGACAGCAGCAAGCAGUGACGCUUGUAACCCAUGUACGAAGAACUGACUGCUUGGGAACAGAGUCAGUGAGUCGGUGCAAGGUGAGACUGCCUGAUCAGCCUGGCUGUGCGUUAAGUAUACGCUCAUAUGUUACCUGAAUUCCCUUUUUUGUUUGCAUUUUUUGUUUGUUUGAUUCCCCACCAUCGUUGAUUCCGCUGACCCACGUGACCCGCUGCUCCACGUGACCGUCUCCGCUUCCUUGUGAUGCCCAUGAUCCUGAAGGACGGCGAUGUCGUCGCGUGAGCUGCCGGCUGGUGGUCGGCGGACUGGACUGCCGGACGUGCUGGUGGUUUCCGGUGCUGUGGGGCGGCGUCCCCGUGGGACGCGUCUGCCGCAUGAUCGUCUAACGGCGAGGUCGUCGGAGUCCGGGAUCGGCUAAGGUGCGGACGACUGCUGCGGCGGCUGCGUCGCGGGCGCUUGCGGGGCCGCUGAGGCGGCCGCUUCGCCUGCCGCCCGCGGUCGGCGCUCUGGUGGGCGGCGCUGCGUUCCGGUGCUCGGCGUCCCGGGACGCUGACGGAGGACUGUGAGGACUUUGACGUGAUGGUUCGGUGUGGCGCCGUGCAGAAGGGGCGCAUGUGUGGUGCGUGGCGAACAGUGUAGUGUCCACUGUCCAUCGUGCGUGAACACCGUCUAGAAGAACGUUUUUCGUUACGCGGCUGUGCCUGUCGUUAGGUCGCUUAAUGUUAAGUUUUCGGUUUCCGAAAACUGGGGGGAGAAUGUCGCGACCUUUGUGCGCAGCCGCCGUGAAAACCGGCAGCUCUACUGUGGCGAGCGCCGCGCAUAUUUAGUAGCCGCGUUCUCCAUUUGUUUUGAGACGAUUUUUGCGCUCAAGUGUGCGCCGUAAAACCUGCCACGCCUCAUUUUUCCGUGAUGCCUCUAGCAGGGAAGGAUGCUGGCAUUGAGACAGUGCUGUGAGGCGCUGUAGGAGGCCGAGUGUGUACCGGCCUGUCUGCGGUCCCUCCAAGCCGAGUUGAGCCGGCUUGGACGAGGUUCGCUCAUCGCUGUCAUCAUCGCGCCCACAAACUAUUGGUCAGUAAACCUGAGUAGCACUGGAAUCUGGAUUGUUAAUUAAUUAUAAUUGUUUGCGAACACGAACUUCACUUGAAUCUAACUUGACUUGAUAUUCUGCUUACGUUGAUCCAACCUGACCUCGAGUUUCAUGAUUCAUGCGUGUUUUGAGUGUGAUGAUUGAUGUGUGUCAGAAAGUGUUACCCAUGAUUGUUGAUUAUGGCUGUUUGUCUUUGUGUCAUGUUCGCAGACAACCGCUAGCUGCUUGCUGGUAGCACGCUUGCUUCUCGCUGUCCUUUCCUGAAUAUGACCUAUGACCAUUUCUCUGUUUAUUUUCCUUUUCUUUAUUUGAGAGCGUGCACAGCAGGGCGGCAGUGAGUUGGAAUAGAGGGCACGUGGCGAAGAUGGCAACAAGCCGUCUUAAGACUUUCUCUGGUCUGCUUUUCUACCGGCGGCUAAACCGUCGAUGAAUAUCCAUUUACUCAAUCCUAGCGUAUUUUCUUCUAGAGCCUAGACCACAGAGCAACGGCUGCCAUAGCCGAACCUCUGAGCAUCGCAAAACAUACUGGUCUCACUUCUCAGUCUCAAAAACAGAAUGGCCGUGGGCACACCCCGCCCGCACUGUGUUCACGACGCAUCUAUCUAUUUUUCUAUAGUGCUUAGGUACUUGUGCAGAUGCAGGGACCGAUGCCUUGGGUGUGGAUAUCAAUGGAUGCAUGCUGUAGCAGAGGUCAUGCGCUCUAUAACAAAUCCCAAGGCUAUCUGAAUACAUUGGAAUAUAUGA